GACGAACGCUGGCGGCGUGCUUAAAACAUGCAAGUCGAACGGACUUCUCAUGAAGCUUGCGAUUGAGAAGUUAGUGGCGGACGGGUGAGUAACGCGUGGGCAACCUGCCCCUGAGCCCGGGAUAACAGUUCGAAAGGACUGCUAAGACCGGAUAUACUUGCGGUGAAGCAUUUCACUGCAAGGAAAGGGAACGCUCAGGGAUGGGCCCGCGUCCCAUUAGCUAGUUGGUGAGGUAACGGCCCACCAAGGCGACGAUGGGUAGCCGGCCUGAGAGGGUGAACGGCCACACUGGGACUGAGACACGGCCCAGACUCCUACGGGAGGCAGCAGUGGGGAAUAUUGCACAAUGGGCGAAAGCCUGAUGCAGCGACGCCGCGUGAGGGAUGGACGGCCUUCGGUUGUAACCGUACUUUCUAGCAGGAAGAAGCGAAAGUAGACGGUACCGUGCGAGAAGAAGACACCGGCCGUAACUAACGUGCCACGCAGCCGCGGAAACCAUACCUCGUA
rnacentral:rRNA from 1 species